AGCCUCAGGAAGACGUUCCUGGAAGUCGGAGAGUGUGAGAACUCAAGAGGUGGCAGUUGACUAAGAACUGGGCUGUGCACCUCAUGGCGAAAGUCACAGCAAGAACAGGGAAGAUCGAGGGGAUGAUCAAUCAGAGGAGGACUGGAAGGCACCUGUGGAUGAGGCCAGGCAGGUAACCAAGCGCAGCUGCUGACUACACAGAGAGGUCAAGAAGCAAAAGGAGCUGCCACAGAGAAGGUGUGAGAAACGCAGGACACCUCCCCAAAGAGCAGGGCAUUUGGCUGUGUAGACUGGCCCUCUUUUUGGACACAUCUUCCACAUGGAAUAAGAGGACAGGUGUGCAGGCAGUGCUCGGGCACUGAGCGGACAUCACUUGACCAGGGAUUAAUCCAAUGGACCCAUUUCUCAUGGAGCCCAAACUCUUCUGAGGACCUCAGUCAGAACUGCAGGGGCCGCUCUGCCCUGAGGCCUGGUGUUGGAGCUGUCCUGCUCAGCACCUUGUCAUUGUGAUCCCCUGAGGUCGGGUGGGAUGCCCUGCUGCCCUCACCCUGCACUGCUUUGCAUGUUAAACACAUUUAUGCACCGAAGUCCCCUUUUGCCCUGGAAGGCUUUUGAGGUACAGUGAACCCCAUGCACGUCACAGAUGUAUUAAAUAAAGGAGUUGCCAACC